UACGUAGGUGGCAAGCGUUGUCCGGAUUUACUGGGCGUAAAGGAUGCGUAGGCGGAUAUUUAAGUCAGAUGUGAAAUUCCCGGGCUCAACCUGGGAGCUGCAUUUGAAACUGGGUAUCUAGAGUGCGGGAGAGGAGAGUGGAAUUCCUAGUGUAGCGGUGAAAUGCGUAGAGAUUAGGAAGAACACCAGUGGCGAAGGCGACUCUCUGGACCGUAACUGACGCUGAGGAACGAAAGCGUGGGUAGCGAACAGG
rnacentral:rRNA from 1 species